rnacentral:rRNA from 1 species
AUUGAACGCUGGCGGCAGGCCUAACACAUGCAAGUCGGACGGUAGCACAGAGGAGCUUGCUCCUCGGGUGACGAGUGGCGGACGGGUGAGUAAUGUCUGGGGAUCUGCCCGAUAGAGGGGGAUAACCACUGGAAACGGUGGCUAAUACCGCAUAACGUCGCAAGACCAAAGAGGGGGACCUUCGGGCCUCUCACUAUCGGAUGACCCCAGAUGGGAUUAGCUAGUAGGCGGGGUAACGGCCCACCUAGGCGACGAUCCCUAGCUGGUCUGAGAGGAUAACCAGCCACACUGGAACUGAGACACGGUCCAGACUCCUACGGGAGGCAGCAGUGGGGAAUAUUGCACAAUGGGCGCAAGCCUGAUGCAGCCAUGCCGCGUGUAUGAAGAAGGCCUUCGGGUUGUAAAGUACUUUCAGCGGGAGGAAGGCGAUGUGGUUAAUAACCGCAUUGAUUGACGUUACCCGCAGAAGAAGCACCGGCUAACUCCGUGCCAGCCGCCGCCGUAA